rnacentral:rRNA from 1 species
AUUGAACGCUGGCGGCAUGCCUUACACAUGCAAGUCGAACGGCAGCACGGGUGCUUGCACCUGGUGGCGAGUGGCGAACGGGUGAGUAAUACAUCGGAACAUGUCCUGUAGUGGGGGAUAGCCCGGCGAAAGCCGGAUUAAUACCGCAUACGAUCUACGGAUGAAAGCGGGGGACCUUCGGGCCUCGCGCUAUAGGGUUGGCCGAUGGCUGAUUAGCUAGUUGGUGGGGUAAAGGCCUACCAAGGCGACGAUCAGUAGCUGGUCUGAGAGGACGACCAGCCACACUGGGACUGAGACACGGCCCAGACUCCUACGGGAGGCAGCAGUGGGGAAUUUUGGACAAUGGGCGAAAGCCUGAUCCAGCAAUGCCGCGUGUGUGUAGAAGGCCUUCGGGUUGUAAAGCACUUUUGUCCGGAAAGAAAUCCUUGGCCCUAAUACGGUCGGGGGAUGACGGUACCGGAAGAAUAAGCACCGGCUAACUACGUG